CGGGGUGAGUAACACGUAGGUAAUCUGCCUCUAUCUCAGCGAUAACCCUCGGAAACGGGGGCUAAACGCUGGCACGGAACUUCGGUUUCAAAGGCGCAAGCCGGAUAGAGAUGAGCCUGCGGCUGAUUAGCUAGUUGGAGAGGUAAUGGCUCCCCAAGGCAACGAUCAGUAGCUGGUCUGAGAGGACGAACAGCCACACUGGAACUGAGACACGGUCCAG
rnacentral:rRNA from 1 species